CAGUAGCCGCGGGAAUACGUAGGUGGCAAGCGUGGUCCGGAAUUAUUGGGCGUAAAGGGCUCGCAGGCGGUUUCUUAAGUCUGAUGUGAAAGCCCCCGGCUCAACCGGGGAGGGUCAUUGGAAACUGGGAAACUUGAGUGCAGAAGAGGAGAGUGGAAUUCCACGUGUAGCGGUGAAAUGCGUAGAGAUGUGGAGGAACGCCAGUGGCGAAGGCGACUCUCUGGUCUGUAACUGACGCUGAGGAGCGAAAGCGUGGGGAGCGAACAGGAUUAGAUACCCCAGUAGUCCCUGUCUCUUAUAU
rnacentral:rRNA from 1 species